rnacentral:rRNA from 1 species
GACGAACGCUGGCGGCGUGCUUAACACAUGCAAGUCGAACGAUGACGACCGAGCUUGCUAGGUCUGAUUAGUGGCGAACGGGUGAGUAACACGUGAGCAACCUGCCCUUCACUCUGGGAUAACCUCGGGAAAUAGGGGCUAAUACCGGAUAUGAGCUCCUGUCGCAUGGCGGGUGUUGGAAAGUUUUUCGGUGAAGGAUGGGCUCGCGGCCUAUCAGUUUGUUGGUGAGGUAGUGGCUCACCAAGGCGAUGACGGGUAGCCGGCCUGAGAGGGCGACCGGCCACACUGGGACUGAGACACGGCCCAGACUCCUACGGGAGGCAGCAGUGGGGAAUAUUGCACAAUGGGCGAAAGCCUGAUGCAGCGACGCCGCGUGAGGGAUGACGGCCUUCGGGUUGUAAACCUCUUUCAGCAGGGAAGAAGCGAAAGUGACGGUACCUGCAGAAGAAGCGCCGGCUAACUACGUG